UGCCAGCCGCCGCGGUAAUACAGAGGAUGCAAGCGUUAUCCGGAAUCACUGGGCGUAAAGGGAGCGCAGGCGGGAUGGCAAGUUGGAAGUGAAAACUAUGGGCUCAACCUAUAGAUUGCUUUCAAAACUGCUAUUCUUGAGUGGUGCAGAGGUAGGCGGAAUUCCCGGUGUAGCGGUGGAAUGCGUAGAUAUCGGGAGGAACACCAGUGGCGAAGGCGGCCUACUGGGCACUAACUGACGCUGAGGCUCGAAAGCAUGGGUAGCAAACAGGAUUAGAUA
rnacentral:rRNA from 1 species